CUUCAGCGACCCCAGCCACGCCGGGCGCGCCGGGUCGCGGUCCUGACCGUAGGUGGCCAGCAGCGCCUCGGCCUC
rnacentral:antisense_RNA from 1 species